rnacentral:lncRNA from 1 species
CAAGGGCCUCUGAAGGCCAUGCUGCCCCACCUGGGACCUUCCUGGGAUGCACCGGGGACCUGCAGACACUCACACAAGAGGCAGGCUGGGCACAGAGCCUAAAUGGAGGGAGAGCUCACCCCCAGGACGAUGAACCCAGCCGGCCAGAGCUCUGUGCGUGGACGGCAGCGUGCUCUUUGGGCAAGCAGGAGCUCUGGUUUGCUGAGCCCUCUCUGCUGCAAAGUGCUGAACACUCCUUUCAUCCACUCACCCAUCUGGCUGUCAUGUAUCCACGUGCUCACUGAUUCAGUCACGUAUUCAGUUGCUGGGGGCAGUGCGGUACAGGCCAAGCCCUUGAGACAUGCAGAAGAAGAAAAUAAAAUGGCAAACACGUGACUGUGGAUGUCAGAGAGUGAUGCAUGCCACAGAGGAGAGAAAACCAGGAACGAAAGCAGCUGGAGCCAAAGUCUGCGAACCUUCUGCCCCCGAGUUCUCACCCUGGCGAGCUUCACAGUGAGCACAGGACCUCGAUCUGCCACGACAUCCUCCACAGCUCCAAUUCGGGAGUAUCUGAUCUUGAGGAAAAUCUCCAGGCAGCCUGGAAAGGGUUCAACCAGCCCAGCUCAGGGCCCAGGCCUGCGACUGAAUGCCUGUGCUGGGCUGGGUGCAGCCGAGUCUGUAAGGUGCCGCUGCUUGUGUAGGAAGAGAAGGUUUCCUAAACCCAGGUGCCUCUGUCGAUGUGGAGACAGAGCCCACUGCAGCGCACUCACAGGAAACAGCAGCUCAGCAGAUGGUGCUCACCCGGGGUUUCGGCAGGGGUCCUGACCUCUUUUGCACGAGAUGAAUUAAUUGCUCGCCUGAAGUAGACCCGCUGGCUGGGCACAGAGAAGACAGAGCGGAUAGCUGCGGCCCCUGAUGGGAGGUUGAUGGAUGAACCUGAGCCGCAGCACAGGGCUUUAAAAAGAUACACCUGCCUACAGGUGGUGAGCAGAGCGCUGUGUCUACACAAGGAUUGCCAUAAAUCAGAAGGAGAUAAAAGCAUUUAAAACCAACAAAGCAGGCAACAUUUUUUGAGUAAUUGAGCUUGGUUUUAAAAAACAAGAAAUGUCUGUGUUAGUCCUUGUCUUUCAAACAUUGUUCUCUGUUUGGUUAAGCUAGACAAACACCAGGAUCUGAUGUAAGCGCGACUUUUUCUUUUUGUAUGUUGGACAUAAAUGUCUUUAAUCUCUGGAGUUAGGAAUUUAUUGGUUGAGUCUUCAGGGGCAAACGCGGUAAGUUCUGAAAUGGUUUUUCUUGCAGGGUGGAGGUAGAAAGCGGGGAGGAGGCAGAGAGGGACAGGAAGGCGCACCCCCAAAUCAAACUCACCCCCAAGUCAAACUGGAAAUGACAAGCAUUUUCCUGGCACAGGAGAACAGGGUACAGGUGACUUUUUACCGGCUUGGCGUGGCCCGAUGGAUGUGCCUGGUGGGGGUGAGCUGGGCUCACUGGUCACAAACCAAAAUUCCUUCUCGUGACCUCCACAGCAACCACCGAAGCAGGCACAGAGCUUAAGGCAGGGCACCCUCCCCUGAGUGUGGCCAGGGGCUCAGCCCCACCUCUGUCUUCUCCCCUUACUCCUUACCCUGGUUCGCUGGCGGAGGUUGCACCCAGUCUGUGGUCCCACUGCUUCACCGUUGGGCUGUGACCUGGGACCUGCUGGAGGCUCCUGGGAUCUGGAGACACACAGGUGUUUCAUGAGCUGGUGGGAGACAGUGCAUGUCAGAGGGAGCGGAGACUGUUUCCAGGUUUGUUUCCACCCCUUGUCCACCUGCCCUGCCCGACCCGGGUCCCCUCAUCUGCCUCCUCCAGCUGCUACCACAGAUUCCAAAGUCUGCAGGGUGCAGUUGGACUGGGGAUGGACCUGCUUGUUUUAACAAGAAGGGUGAGGUUUUAACACUUAAAAUAGAUGAGGCACUCUUACUCUUGCCUCUGUGACUUUGAAAUUUGUAUUUUCUUUUCUUUUUUCUCUUUUUACUUUCCUUUUUUUCUAGUACUGGGGGUCAAACCUAGGGGCACCCUAACACUGAACUACAUCACCAGGUCGAUUGAUUGACUGACUGAUUGAGACAGGAUCGCACUAAGUCCCAAAUUGCCCUGGCAGGUCUCAAGUUUGCCAUAGACCUGCCUCAGCCUCCUUCUAUGCUUAAGAAAGGGUGCUGAAGAGGGUUUUUUUUGUUUUGU